rnacentral:rRNA from 1 species
AUGAGCAGUAGGAGCACACUACAGAUAUUGACCGACAAAACUUGUUGGAAAGACAAGAAUCUGCCAAAGUCAAAGAAAAAUGAUGAAGCGGAGUCUCAGAUCAAGCGGAAGAUUCCUCUGUCAACAGCCCCAUCUAAACCAGCUAAGCAGCAAAAGAUUGUCAAGUUUGCCAAGGGCACAAAGGAGGAACAGUGCAGAAAAGGUGUGGGGUCCAGACAUGAGACAGAACAACAUGCGACAGCCAUCGAUGUAGGACUGCCAAGUUCUGCUAGUUUGGUGCCAACUCAGGCUGCAAAGGUGCCAACUGCAUAUACCAGUGUACCAACUGAAGUGGUCAUAGUCAAAACUAGCAGAGUUGCUCAGGGUGACUCAACUGCAAGCACAAGCCCCAAGGUGACAAUUCAUAGAGAUUCUUCAAUGCCAAACACGGAAGGAUGA